GACGAACGCUGGCGGCGUGCCUAACACAUGCAAGUCGAACGGAAAGGCCCUGCUUUUGUGGGGUGUUCGAGUGGCGAACGGGUGUGUAACACGCGAGUAACCUGCCCUUGACUUUGGGAUAACUUCAGGAAACUGGGGCUAAUACAGGAUAGGAGCUCCUGCAGCAUGGUGGUGGUUGGAAAGUUUCGGCGGUUGGGGAUGGACUCGCGGCUUAGCAGCUUGUUGGUGGGGUAGUGGCUUACCAAUGCAUCGACGGGUAGCCGGACUGAGAGGGUGACCGGCCACAUUGGGCCUGAGGUACGGCCCAGACUCCUACGGGAGGCAGAGGUGGGAAAUAGUGCACAAUGGGCGGAAGCCUGAUGCAGCAACGCCGCGUGCGGGAUGACGGCCUUCGGGUUGUAAACCGCUUUCGCCUGUGACGAAGCGUGAGUGACGGUAAUGAGUAAAGAAGCACCGGCUAACUACGUG
rnacentral:rRNA from 1 species